rnacentral:rRNA from 1 species
AGUCGAACGGCAGCAUAGGUGCUUGCACCUGAUGGCGAGUGGCGAACGGGUGAGUAAUGCAUCGGAACGUGCCCAGUCGUGGGGGAUAACGCAGCGAAAGUUGUGCUAAUACCGCAUACGAUCUAUGGAUGAAAGCGGGGGACCUUCGGGCCUCGCGCGAUUGGAGCGGCCGAUGUUAGAUUAGGUAGUUGGUGGGGUAAAGGCUCACCAAGCCAACGAUCUAUAGCUGGUCUGAGAGGACGACCAGCCACACUGGAACUGAGACACGGUCCAGACUCCUACGGGAGGCAGCAGUGGGGAAUUUUGGACAAUGGGCGAAAGCCUGAUCCAGCAAUACCGCGUGCAGGAAGAAGGCCCUCGGGUUGUAAACUGCUUUUGUACGGAACGAAACGGCGUGCUCUAAUAAAGUGCGCUAAUGACGGUACCGUAAGAAUAAGCACCGGCUAACUACGUGCCAGCAGCCGCGGUAAUACGUAGGGUGCAAGCGUUAAUCGGAAUUACUGGGCGUAAAGCGUGCGCAGGCGGUUUUGUAAGACAGGCGUGAAAUCCCCGGGCUCAACCUGGGAAUUGCGCUUGUGACUGCAAGGCUAGAGUACGGUAGAGGGGGGUAGAAUUCCGCGUGUAGCAGUGAAAUGCGUAGAUAUGCGGAGGAACACCGAUGGCGAAGGCAGCCCCCUGGACCUGUACUGACGCUCAUGCACGAAAGCGUGGGGAGCAAACAGGAUUAGAUACCCUGGUAGUCCACGCCCUAAACGAUGUCAACUGGUUGUUGGGAAUUUACUUUCUCAGUAACGAAGCUAACGCGUGAAGUUGANCGCCUGGGGAGUACGG